UAGGGAAUCUUCCGCAAUGGGCGAAAGCCUGACGGAGCAACGCCGCGUGAGUGAUGAAGGUCUUCGGAUCGUAAAACUCUGUUAUUAGGGAAGAACAAAUGUGUAAGUAACUAUGCACAUCUUGACGGUACCUAAUCAGAAAGCCACGGCUAACUACGUGCCAGCAGCCGCGGUAAUACGUAGGUGGCAAGCGUUAUCCGGAAUUAUUGGGCGUAAAGCGCGCGUAGGCGGUUUUUUAAGUCUGAUGUGAAAGCCCCCGGCUCAACCGGGGAGGGUCAUUGGAAACUGGUUGACUUGAGUGCAGAAGAGGAGAGUGGAAUUCCAUGUGUAGCGGUGAAAUGCGUAGAUAUAUGGAGGAACACCAGUGGCGAAGGCGACUCUCUGGUCUGUAACUGACGCUGAUGUGCGAAAGCGUGGGGAUCAAACAGG
rnacentral:rRNA from 1 species